rnacentral:rRNA from 1 species
UGGGGAAUAUUGCACAAUGGGGGAAACCCUGAUGCAGCGACGCCGCGUGAGCGAUGAAGUAUCUCGGUAUGUAAAGCUCUAUCAGCAGGGAAGAAAGUGACAGUACCUGACUAAGAAGCCCCGGCUAACUACGUGCCAGCAGCCGCGGUAAUACGUAGGGGGCAAGCGUUAUCCGGAUUCACUGGGCGUAAAGGGAGCGCAGGCGGCACGGCAAGUCUGGUGUGAAAACCCGGGGCUCAACCCCGGGACUGCAUUGGAAACUGCCGGGCUGGAGUGUCGGAGGGGUAAGCGGAAUUCCUAGUGUAGCGGUGAAAUGCGUAGAUAUUAGGAGGAACACCAGUGGCGAAGGCGGCUUACUGGACGAUGACUGACGCUGAGGCUCGAAAGCGUGGGGAGCAAACAGG